rnacentral:rRNA from 1 species
CCUACGGGUGGCAGCAGUGGGGAAUAUUGCACAAUGGGGGAAACCCUGAUGCAGCGACGCCGCGUGAGUGAGGAAGUAUUUCGGUAUGUAAAGCUCUAUCAGCAGGGAAGAAAAUGACGGUACCUGACUAAGAAGCCCCGGCUAACUACGUGCCAGCAGCCGCGGUAAUACGUAGGGGGCAAGCGUUAUCCGGAUUUACUGGGUGUAAAGGAAGCGUAGACGGCUAAUCAAGUCAGAAGUGAAAACCAAGGGCUCAACCUUGGGAGUGCUUUUGAAACUGAGUAGCUAGAGGGCAGGAGAGGUAAGCGGAAUUCCGAGUGUAGCGGUGAAAUGCGUAGAUAUUAGGAGGAACACCAGUGGCGAAGGCGGCUUACUGGACUGUAACUGACGUUGAGGCUCGAAAGCGUGGGGAGCAAACAGGAUUAGAUACCCGAGUAGUC